AAUUUUUUGCGCUCGACGCGUGAUCAAUACAACUUUCAACAACGGAUCUCUUGGCUCUCGCAUCGAUGAAGAACGCAGCGAAAUGCGAUACGUAAUGUGAAUUGCAGAAUUCAGUGAAUCAUCGAAUCUUUGAACGCACCUUGCGCCCCUUGGUAUUCCGAGGGGCACACCCGUUUGAGUGUCGUGAAAAUCUCAACCUCCUCGGUUUCUUUUGAACACCGAAGGAGGGUUGGACUUUGGAGGGCUUUGCUGGACCACUUGAAAGGCCAGCUCCUCUCAAAUGAAUUAGCGAGGUUCCCUUUGCCAAUCCUCGACGUGUGAUAAGAUGCUUCCAUGUCUUGGUCCUUUGGCUCUGUUGCCCCUUGGGACCUGCUUCCAAUCGUCUCUCGGCGAGACAAUGUUCGAGCGUGCCUCGACCACAUACCCUGACCUCAAAUCGGG
rnacentral:rRNA from 1 species